rnacentral:ncRNA from 2 species
CUCUUAUCCAGAGCGGAGGAGGGACAGCCCCGAUGAAUCCCGGCAACCGGAUCUGAUGAUCACGGUGCCAAUUGCUGCGGGGUGGACUCUGUCCCCGGCAGAUGAGAG